rnacentral:rRNA from 1 species
CCCUUAGAUGUUCUGGGCCGCACGCGCGCUACACUGACGAAUGCAACGAGCUUAUAACCUUGGCCGAAAGGUCUGGGUAAUCUCCAAAUUUCGUCGUGAUGGGGAUAGAUUAUUGCAAUUAUUAAUCUUCAACGAGGAAUGCCUAGUAAGCGCAAGUCAUCAGCUUGCGUUGAUUACGUCCCUGCCCUUUGUACACACCGCCCGUCGCUCCUACCGAUUGAAUGGUCCGGUGAAGCGUUCGGACCGUGGCCUUUGGACGGUUCGCCGUCUGCUGGCUGCGGGAAGUUCGUUAAACCUUAUCAUUUAGAGGAAGGAGAANUCGUAACA